rnacentral:lncRNA from 1 species
CACGGAUUUUGGCGAUUUUUUUUGGUUUGCACAUGAAAUGAGAAAUCAGCAAAGAGGUGUAUCUUUCAAGGUCUGGUGUUUUGCUUUCAAAGGCUGAUUUUGGAACAGUAACAAGCAUAACAGUGCAGAUAAAGAUACCAACCAGUGGCUUGAUUAUGAAGAAACGAAAAUAUCCUAAAUAUGAUGACGGUUUUUAGAGUUUGGUUUUACAUCAACAAAACCAUUUGGAGUCAAAAGAAAUGAAUGUUGAAGAGAGACCACAAUGUGUAUUGUGUAUUAAAGAUUUGACUGCCUAGUGUAUGCUUCCAAGGAAACUGAAGUGCCAUUUAAAAGCUAAUCACCGCAGCAUAGUUGGCAAAUCUUGAGGACAUUUUGUCAGGAACUUAAAAAAACUGAAACAACAUUUUUUAAAAAAAUUGCAUGAAUGCAUCAAUACCAAACAACGUUUUUAUAGCAUCUUACAAGGUGACUUACAGAUUAGAGAAAUGUAAGAAACCUCAUAGCGUCGCAGACGAACAUAUUCUAUCAGCUGCUGUAGAACAUCAUGGUCUACAUGAGUUUGCUGAGAAGUUGCUUUUAAAAAUGACUUUAUCCAAUAACACAAUUAUUCGGAGAAUACAACGUAGGGCGGAGGAUAUCAACCGAUCAAUUAAUUGAAAAAAUUAAAGGAGUGAACUUUGGAUUACAACUAGAUGGGAUUACAGAUGAUAAUAUGGAUGCUUAUUUGAUAAGCUAUGUACGGUUUAUAGAUGGUAAUAAUAUUAAAGACCUUCUGUUUUGUAAACAUAUUACUGGAGCAAAGGAUCAGAACCUGUUCGAGAUUUUUGAUACAUUCAUAUCUAAAUUUGAAUUGGCACAAGUGCGUUGGUGUCAGUAGUCAUGGAGUUCGCUCCAUGUUUGCCUGCUAUGAAGGAUUAUAGCCACUUAUUCGAAGUAAAUCUCUAAAUGCACCGUGGCCGCAUUGCAUUAUUCACAGAGAUACACUUGCUUCAAAUCUGGGUCCUGCAUUGAAUCAGGUAGAAUGGCCAAAAAAUGGCAUAAAUUUUAUAAAUCCUCAUAGAUUGAAAGCAAGGUUUUUUUAAAAAGUUGUGUGAGAAUAAAGAUGAAUCGAACGCUCAUCUUUCUUGCACUGUAGUCAAAAUCUUCUUGCACGUAAUAUUAUUUUCUUGCACGAAAAUUUCUUGCACGUAAUAUUAUUUUAUCACGUACCUUUGAAUUGAGGCAAGAAUAUUUUAUUUUCAUUAAACAGGAAGGAUACAAAGAUACAGAAGAUUUUGCUGACGCCGAUGUUUUAAUAAAACUGGCAUAUUCAUGCAAUAUUUCUGAAAAGUUGAAUUCUCGUAAUUUCUCUCUCUCUCUACAGGGAAUAAACAUACGUACAUCUUUUGAAGUCAACAGGAAAAAUAUCAGCUUUAAUAAAAAGUACUCAUACUAUGGAGAAGAAAAUUGAAUGAUAAUAUAGACAAAUAUUAAUUUUUAAUAUUUCAGCAAAUCUUGACGUCAAAUGAACUUGAUCUUUCUCAAGAUAUAAAAACCAUGUUUGAAAGGGCCCUUAUCACAACUAAUUAUCUGGUUCGAUAAAUUCUUUGAGAAAUUGAGUGAAAGUUUGUUUGGAUUCAAGAUCCAUUUAACACUAGCUCCGUCUAAAUUUACUUUUGAGAAAGAAAAUUUUAUCGAGUUGUUUUGUGACAACAGUCUGAAAGCAAAAUUUGACAGCAUUGAAUUGACAGAAUUUGGGUUUCAAUACAAGACGAAUAUCCCCUUCUAAGUGAAUAAUAUCAGCGUAUUUUAGAUCCAUUUUCAGCAUCGUAUUUGUGCGAAUUUUUGGUUUUUGCAGUCGCUGUAAUAAAAAGCAAGUAUAGAGCAAAAAUUAACCCUUUCCACUCCUUAAUGUCGUUUUUUUUAUUAACCAACAACUCUUUAAUUCGUUUUAUAAAUUUAUAUAUUUUACCAAUUUUUGUUUACCUUAAUUAUUUAAAGUAUGAUAUUUUUUAAAACAUUCUCCUGGAUAAAGACCGGGUUUCCUAUCACAAGUAUCACAAUAGAAUGUUGUUUCUUUUCUCCCUCCUUUGACCUUCCGUUUGGAUUAUAACAUACAGUCCUUGUGUUUUUUAUGAGAAAAAAUAAAAUGAGUCUUCCCAUCUAAAUAUUGGAUAGUAUCAUCUGUGGACAAUCGGCCGGCUUUAUUGUGUAGGAGGAAGUCUUUGAUUAGACUCAUCAAUAA